UGGGGGAUAUUGCACAAUGGGCGAAAGCCUGAUGCAGCGACGCCGCGUGGGGGAUGAAGGCUUUCGGGUUGUAAACCUCUUUCGCUAUCGAACAAGGCCCGCUUAGGGUGGGUUGAGGGUAGGUGGAGAAGAAGCGCCGGCUAACUACGUGCCAGCAGCCGCGGUAAUACGUAGGGCGCGAGCGUUGUCCGGAAUUAUUGGGCGUAAAGGGCUUGUAGGCGGCUUGUUGCGCCUGCUGUGAAAACGCGGGGCUUAACUUCGCGCGUGCAGUGGGUACGGGCAGGCUUGAGUGUGGUAGGGGUGACUGGAAUUCCAGGUGUAGCGGUGGAAUGCGCAGAUAUCUGGAGGAACACCGAUGGCGAAGGCAGGUAACUGGGCCAUUACUGACGCUGAGGAGCGAAAGCAUGGGUAGCGAACAGG
rnacentral:rRNA from 2 species